UCAUGUAAAAUUUUAAAGGUCGAACAGACCUAAUUUAUUAGCUUCUACACCAAUAAUUUCUUUUAAUCCAACAUCGAGGUCGCAAUCUUUUUUUUUAAUUUGAACUCUAAAAAAAAAUUACGCUGUUAUCCCUAAGGUAAUUUUCUCUUAUAAUCUUUAAUAAAGGAUCAAAUAUUCAUAAAUAAAUGUAAUAAUAAAAAAAAAAGUUAAGUUAAUUUUUCAAUCACCCCAAUCAAAUAAUUAAUUUUACAAACUAAAAAAUACUAAAAUUUCACUUACAAAAUUAAUUAUAAAACUCUAUAGGGUCUUCUCGUCUUCUAUAAAUAUUUAAGCUUUUUUACUUAAAAAUAAAAUUCUAAUUAAUUUARAUAGAGACAGCUAUUUUUUCAUCAAACCUUUCAUACAAGCUUUCAAUUAAAAAACUAAUGAUUAUGCUACCUUUGCACGGUCAAAAUACCGCGGCCAUUAAAUAAACUAUCAUUGGGCAGGUCARACCUAAAAUUAUUAACAAWAGGCCAKGUUUUUAA
rnacentral:rRNA from 1 species